rnacentral:lncRNA from 1 species
AAAAUUAUUUUUGAAAUGGAUAGUAGCAUAAAUGUUUCGAGUAUAUCGAGUUGUCAAUCUAAUCUAACCUAACCUAAUUUAACUAAUUUUUCUAGGUUUAUAUAAUAAUAUUUUAAAGUAUUUAAAGAAAAACAGAAAUAAAGAAAAGAUUCGUGUCCAGAUGGAGAUAUACACGUUAUAUUUUAUAUUUUAUAUUUUAUAUAUAUUCACAAGAUCCAGUUCCUGGCCAUAAAAUGUAAAUAAUUGGAGGGCGAUCGAUAAUCUAUUUCAUGCAUGAUAAAAUAAUCGAUUUGUAAAAUUGGAUUAACAGGACACGCCACGACGAGUUUCGAGUAAAAAUUAAUAAACAGAUUGUUGACCGCGAUAAACGGCUUUUGCACGUCCACGCCGUGCGAUUCAAUUCAGUUUUCUAGAAAAUACAGUAUAAAAAUAUAUAUAAAUUCUAUCAGGGAAAAGCAUCGAGAUUUGGCUGAAACUAAAGAUGACAAAAAGAAGGUCAAUGACUAGGGAAUUUUUUGCCAGAAUCAAGGCGGUCUAAUUGAACGAAUCUUGGAAGGUGUGCAGUCCUAACGAUAAAAGAAAAUAACUUGGGAAGUAUUUAUGCAAAUACGCGCCUUUGCAUGGUGCAUGCAAAUCAACUUUAUCGAAGGUGGCACGACACGAAGGUGGUUCACCCUUUCGCGGAAGAAACGUCUCUCCCCCGGAUUGGCCGCGUUUGGCGGGAGCGGAAACGCGAUUACCUUAAAGCUGGAGGCCCUUCCUCGUGCAACGUGUAGAAAACGGAAUCGAAUAUCCAGCUUGAUUCUCAUCGAGACCUAAUUAUCGAUCGGUGGAAAGGCUCCCUCGUGAGCACAAUUUACGUAUUGAUUUACGUAUGCGUCGUAUCCUCUGUGUGCAAAGGGAUUCCUCGUACAUUGACUCACGGGCUGGCAGCCGUGCUAAAUGCAGUUGCAACUCUGCCCCUGGCUCUGUUCCAGCUCUGUACAACUGUAUUCCGCCUCGAUGGAUUCGGUAAUCGAGGUCAGUGUACCCCUUCAUCUCGCCUCGCUAUCUAUUUGCAGAGUGAUUUAAAUGCGCGACCCCUUCGCCGAACUUUGGCCCCCAACUUUGACCGGAAACAAUGCUCGAAUAUUUCCCAUGGAAGAACACUUUUUCCCUUUAAUCUUUUGUUAUUUAUAAUUCGAGGGAAAAGGCGAAGGGGAAAAAGAUAGGAUGGAUUUUGCGCGCGAGAAAUGGAGGUAGAAGAUUUUUUUAUCAAUUUUCUAUUCAAAGAAAGAAGAUGAAGGAAAAGACAGGAUAGAGAAAUGUACUGAAGGAGUAAAAAAUUGUGAUUUUUCAAAGAAAUGAAAACGAGGACAAAAGGAUAGAUGCAUUUUAUUUAAAAAAAAUUGGUCGGUUAAGUGAAAUUUGAACGAAUAAUUGGAUUGGUGGCAAGAAGGAAGUGAAGGAACUAUUGAAUGAAGAUGCGCGAGGCGCGCAAGGAUGGACGUGAUGAAAACAAUCGUGGAAAUAGUUCAUUUCAAUCUGGAGAAUCGAUAAAUGGGUCACCGCAGGUCGUCGGGCAAUAUCUCAUGUAUCCACGACUCGAGUAUCAACUGGGUCAUUCGACUGUAGCGAGAAUGGACGACAAAAGUGACAAACUAUCCCCGAAGAAACCAUUAUUCUAUAUCGCCUCUUCCAAGACCUGGCACAACAAUCUUCAGCUAUCAAAUGUUAUUUACCCGACACCUACGCCAAGAGGAAAACAAUUGACAAACGAGCCAACCUAAUUGAACUAUCCUCCAUUAACAACACAGCAUGUAUCUCAAUCCACCCACCAUUCCCGGAGAAAAUGUCGCGGAAGUCGCAAGACGCCGCCUGUAUUUACACUAUACUCAUCACUAUCCAUUAUCCACGAUAAUUGAAUCACUUCCGAUUAAAACUUGCCAAUUAUCUUAUAUAAAUUCAAUUGUACAUUCCUCCAAGAAAUUCUCUUCAUUCAAAAAUAACCAAAGGUUGAACAAAAAGAGAAGAAAGAUUUAGUGGAUUGAAUUCAAACUUAAGUCUAUAAGAUGAGGA